AUAAUAAUAAAAAAAAGUUCACUACAAACGGAUAUUAUCUAUUUGUUAAAAAAAAUUCCAAAUAAAAAUAAACAAUUAUGAUCAAUCUUUAAAAAAAAGAGCAUUCAUAUCUACAUGCAAAUUUUUGUCAUGAUUGGGUAAUCUAUAUUAUAUAUAAAAACUAUAUAAAAUCCUUAUUGACAGACGGAAUCAAAAUAAUAAUAAAAAAAUGUUCACUACAAACGGGUAUUAUUUAUUUGUUAAAAAAAAUCUCAAAUAAAAAUAAACAGUUAUGAUCAAUCUGUUAUAAAAAUAGCAUUCCUAUCCACAUGCAAAUUCAACCCUACAAAUGGUUAUGAUUAAUUUGUUAAAGAAUAUGUCAAAUAAAAAUAAACGUUUAUGAUCAAUCUGUUAAAAAAUAGCAUUCAUAUCAAUCUAUUUUAUAUUAAAAUUAGAAUUUUAUUUUAAAUCGACAAUUAAAUUUAAUUUUGGAUAUCAAAAUUUAAAAAAUUUUAAAAACUUAAAAUAUAUAUACAUCAAAAAUUAAAUUUAAUUUUGGAUUAUCUACUUUAUAUAAAAUUUUAAUUAUAGUGGAUCAAAAUUAAAUUUUAAAUUUUAAAGUAAUAUGAAAUAAAUUUUGAUCUUUUUAGUUUAGAACAUAUACUUAAAUUUUAAAUUCACCGGAAUUCGAAAAAUAUAUAACAAUAUUAUAUAAAAAAGAACAAUAUAGAAUAUCACAGAUAAUUUUAAUAAAAUAUAACAUAUAAAUUUAUAAAAUAUAAUUUUUAUUGUUAAUUUUUGAAUAAAAUAUAAAUUUAUAUUGAUUUCAAAUAAAUUAAAAUAAUUGUUACAUGUAUUUGUACAUAUAUUCAACUAGUCAAUGUAAAUAUAUAUUGUUAUUUCAUAAACAAACUAAAUAGUUAAUUUUUUAACUAGCUGAUUAAUUAUUAAUUAUAACUAAUAACUCAAAUAAUCAAUUCAAUAUUUGUUAAAGUAGUAAAUUUAGUGGUUAAUUAUUAAUCUAGUUAAAUAGUAAAUAAACUAAUAUAUUUUUUAACUAAUAAUAUUUUUUUAUUAAGAGUUCAGCUACUAUACUCUUAUAAGUAUAGAUCUUUUUAUACUCAUACGUUUACGACCGUUAGAUUUACUCCUUUAAUCAUUUUCAUCCGUUAGAUCAUACUAUUCAACAUACCACCCACUUAAUCCUAGGAAAUCAUUAUCAUCCUAACCACAUAUCCCUUUAUCUAACAGUAAAAAAUUUAUGAGUACAAAAAAAUGUAUACUUAUAAGAGUAUAGUAGCCUAGUAUUAUUAUUAAUUAAUAUAAAUAUAAGGGAAGAAAUUGUUGUUCAACUCCAAAGGGUGGCAAAUAUGCCCUCUCAACGCAUUAUCGAGAUAACCUCUUAUUCCACUUAUUACUUCUUUUCUUAUUUUUGAAUCAAACACCGUUAAAGAUAUACAUACAAAAAAUACAAUUAUUUUACACUAAUUUUUACAAAUCAAAUAAUAAAUUUGUUAUACAUACGAAAAAUACAAUUAUUUUACACUAAUUUUUACAAAUCAAAUAAUAAAUUUGUUAUCAGCCGAAACUAUUUUAUAUUUUGAUAAUAAAUUUUCUAGUUCUGUAUUUUUUAUCUAUAGACGUCUUAAAAUAUUUAAAUUAUAUAUAUAUAUAUA
rnacentral:lncRNA from 1 species